rnacentral:rRNA from 1 species
AUGAGCAUUCUAACCUCUGCGAGCUUGAUUAGAUCCUCUGAAGAUGAAAGUAAGAUGCUUGAUAAACUGGAGAUUAAGGUGCGCCUGCCCAAUGGCAAGCUUGUUGUAGGAAAACUGUGGAAAUAUGAUCUUUAUUAUAAUAUUGUUGUUGUGAACACCAAGGCUUUUCCAGAACUUCGUGCAGCAUGCUUUCAUAAUGAGGUGGGACACUGUUGUACAAAACUUGCAAAUACGAUUGCCAGCAACUCAUGGCAUUUACUUGUAAGGACACAAAGGAGAGUUCUGCAGCCAUGGCAUGGUCUGAGGACUGGAUCACUUCAAGCUGAAAAACUGUGUGUCCGUGAAGAAGUACAUGACAGCUUCCCCCAUGCACAUGGCAUUUAA